rnacentral:rRNA from 1 species
AUUAACAGUCAUGUCACAUUAAGAACACUGAUUCUUGUCUGAUCACUGAAAUUAAGCAAUGCCAAGCCUAGUUAGUACUUAGAUGGGUGACUGUUUGGGAAACCUAGGUACUGUAAACA